rnacentral:rRNA from 1 species
UACGUAGGGCGCAAGCGUUGUCCGGAAUUAUUGGGCGUAAAGAGCUCGUAGGCGGCCUGUCGCGUCUGCUGUGAAAUCCCGGGGCUUAACCCCGGGCGUGCAGUGGAUACGGGCUGGCUGGAGGCAGGCAGGGGAGAACGGAAUUCCCGGUGUAGCGGUGAAAUGCGCAGAGAUCGGGAGGAACACCCGUAGCGAAGGCGGCACUCUGGGCCGGUACUGACGCUGAGGAGCGAAAGCGUGGGGAGCGAACAGG